UCUGGUUGAUCCUGCCAGUAGUCAUAUGCUUGUCUCAAAGAUUAAGCCAUGCAUGUCUAAGUACAAACCUUAAUACGGUGAAACCGCGAAUGGCUCAUUAAAUCAGCUAUGGUUCCUUAGAUCGUCUCAUCCUACUCGGAUAACUGUGGAAAAUCUAGAGCUAAUACGUGCUUACAAGCCCUGACCUCACGGGAGGGGCGCAUUUAUUAGAUCAAAACCAAUCGGGGCUUGCCCCGUCUGCUUGGUGACUCUGGAUAACUUUUGUGCUGAUCGCAUGGCCUCUGCGCUGGCGACGUAUCUUUCAAGUGUCUGCCCUAUCAACUUACGAUGGUAGGUGAUAUGCCUACCAUGGUUAUAACGGGUAACGGGGAAUCAGGGUUCGAUUCCGGAGAGGGAGCCUGAGAAACGGCUACCACAUCUAAGGAAGGCAGCAGGCGCGCAAAUUACCCACUCCCGGCACGGGGGGAGGUAGUGACGAAAAAUAACGAUACGGGACUCUUUUGAGGCCCCGUAAUUGGAAUGAGUACACUUUAAAUCCGUUAACAAGUAUCUAUUGGAGGGCAAGUCUGGUGCCAGCAGCCGCGGUAAUUCCAGCUCCAAUAGCGUAUAUUAAUGUUGCUGCAGUUAAAAAGCUCGUAGUUGGAUCUGAGGACUCGAAUUGGUGGUGCACCAUACGGUGUUACUGCCGAUUCGGCCUACCUAGUCGGUGCUCGCUCUUGGUGUUCUUAAUUGAAUGCCCUGAGUGCCCGGCAAGUUUACUUUGAAAAAAUUAGAGUGCUCAAAGCAGGCCAUUAGCCGGAAUACUUCAGCAUGGAAUAAUGGAAUAGGACUUCGGUUCUAUUUUGUUGGUUUUCGGAACCCGAGGUAAUGAUUAAGAGAGACAGACGGGGGCAUUCGUACUGCGGUGUUAGAGGUGAAAUUCUUGGAUCGCCGCAAGACGAACAACUGCGAAAGCAUUUGCCAAGAAUGUUUUCAUUAAUCAAGAACGAAAGUCAGAGGUUCGAAGACGAUCAGAUACCGUCCUAGUUCUGACCAUAAACGAUGCCAACUGGCGAUCCGAGAUCGUUUGCUUAUUGACCUCUCGGGCAGCCUCCGGGAAACCAAAGUUUUUAGGUUCCGGGGGAAGUAUGGUUGCAAAGCUGGAACUGUUUUGCAACUUUUGUCACAAAGUCGAACUGGUCGGUUACUUGGUCUGUUCUGGCCCGGAGUCGGUAGGGUUUCCGGCCUUGUGCUCUUUCCUUACUGUUCUCUGUAACGCCGAAGGCGGGGCUUCCACGGUGGGGAAGCGGUUGUACAAAUCCGGCAAAUCCAGCCAAAUGGGUUCCGGACUCUGUCCAACCUGCAACUGGUAACAGCCUCGGCUGGCUAACAUUUGAGCUGGGACUCGCUUGGGAGGAGCGAGGAUAAUAUAAACCUCUAUGUGACUGAGGUGAGGAAUCUGGUUCUCGUAAAAUGGCUGGAGAUCCCGAGCCUGUAAGUCAUAAAUUAGUUCCCCCACGAGGGAGGUGUCGAAUUGAAGCCAGUGCGUGCCCUUACUAGUUUAAGGGAUUGUAUACUUCCUUUGGUGUACCCACCUGGAAGUGCCCAAGGGGUCCUAUCCCUGCACU
rnacentral:rRNA from 1 species